rnacentral:lncRNA from 1 species
GGAGACUCCGUGUGUAAGCAGCUGCUGCAAUCAGCAUUAACUCCAGGCUCGCAGAGACAUGCCAGGCAAAAUCUCUUCUGGCACAAGUAUUUUUCUGAGGUGAAAAGGACAUAAAAAGCACCAAGAAAAGUAGCAUUUCAAAAGCCUGAUGUGCAUGGCAGCACCUAGAUACUGAUGACCUGUACAAAGACAUGGGAAGAAAAGGUAUUUGACAGAGCCAUCACCACAACGCACCUGUGUGACCUGCUGAUGGUGUGGGAUGUGCUAGGAUGUGCUAGACGUACCUAAGGGGAAGUCCAGGCACUUAACCCUUAAAGCAGGUAACAAAAAGGGACAGAAGAUGCAAGGCCAAAACCAAAUAUCAGCUGUGAUUAAGAUUGUUACUGAUUCAGUAGACUUUUUAUUUAUACAAAUUAAA